UGGGGAAUUUUGGACAAUGGGCGAAAGCCUGAUCCAGCAAUGCCGCGUGUGUGAAGAAGGCCUUCGGGUUGUAAAGCACUUUUGUCCGGAAAGAAAUCCUUGGCUCUAAUACAGUCGGGGGAUGACGGUACCGGAAGAAUAAGCACCGGCUAACUACGUGCCAGCAGCCGCGGUAAUACGUAGGGUGCAAGCGUUAAUCGGAAUUACUGGGCGUAAAGCGUGCGCAGGCGGUUUGCUAAGACCGAUGUGAAAUCCCCGGGCUCAACCUGGGAACUGCAUUGGUGACUGGCAGGCUAGAGUAUGGCAGAGGGGGGUAGAAUUCCACGUGUAGCAGUGAAAUGCGUAGAGAUGUGGAGGAAUACCGAUGGCGAAGGCAGCCCCCUGGGCCAAUACUGACGCUCAUGCACGAAAGCGUGGGGAGCAAACAGGAUUAGAUACCCUGGUAGUCCACGCCCUAAACGAUGUCAACUAGUUGUGGGGAUUCAUUCCUUAGUAACGUAGCUAACGCGUGAAGUUGACCGCCUGGGGAGUACGGUCGCAAGAUUAAAACUCAAAUGAAUUGACGGGGU
rnacentral:rRNA from 1 species